rnacentral:misc_RNA from 1 species
AAGGAUCAUAUUGAAUUUAUUAAUGAGGAGUAGAGUUGUAGCUGGCCAUUUUUCUGGCAAUGUGCACACUCUUCUCUUUCAUCCACACACCCCUGUGCACCUGUGAGACAGUUACAAGGUCAUUUUGGAGUUUGGGCAAGUGUGGAGCUUCAUUGCAAAACUUUUCCCUCCUUCUCUUGGCUUUUGCUGUCUACUCAAUUAACAUACAAACUCUAUUAAAUUUAAAACGAAUGUAAUUGAUGUAACGCAUCUAAUACU